rnacentral:lncRNA from 1 species
GAGCCCCUGGUGGCUGGAGGUUGAUCCUCUCUCUAUUCUGUGCUCAGCUUAGCAUUCCUUUGGCUCUUUCUGAAUCAGUGAUUAAUGUUUGCCUUUAUAGCUCAGAGAAAUUUGUCAUCUUGAGAUUAGUAAUAUGUCAGCGGCGUGUGCCCUACCUACAGCACAAGCUAGCUGUGGGGACUGCAAGGAUCAGGCACGGUGCCUGUCUUGGUAUCUACAAGAGUAAGGAGCACCUUCUUCUCACCCCUACAAAGCGCUGCCCAGAGAUGAGAGCGGCCGUUGUUUAUCGGACAUUAGCUUUUACUCAUUUCCAAGUCUACCAGAGGCAGUGGAUUAAGAGGACAGUAGGAGUACGGAGGAAAAGAAUCUGCAACAGGACUGCUGCAUUUCCCAGGUAGAAGAUGGACAGAAGCCACACACCCCCAGAAGUGCUGGAGGCAGAGCCUGACCUCACACAUGCACAUCUCCCAUUCAAACAGUCAGACUUCGUGGGACAAUCUAAGGUCACCACUUGGUGGGAAAUUCUUAACAAUUUUUAAGUGGCCACAAUGCACAUUAGAAAAAGAAAUCUCAGUCCAACUACCCAAACCCAAGAAUGUGUGAAAAUAUGACAAUUUGGAAUUAAAGCAAGGAAAGCCCAGAUGAAAUCACAUCUCAUGGGAACAAAGGCCACGGACCAUGAAUGAAGUUUCCCUGGAUAUGAAUUGCAGCCUGCACCUCACUAGCUGGGAAAAUGUCAAUGAAUUGUGUAAACUUGUUGCCUCCAUGUGCUCAGGUGGAUGUCUAUGGGCUCGCUGUGGGAAUGUGAUGGGUCAGCCCUGGAAGGCUUUCAAAGGAGGGGCCAGCAUGUGAGCACUCAUUUCCAACUCAUCGUUGCUAUUGUAGAUUAUUUUCCCCAUAACGUUCCAAGCACUUGUCGUUUAUGUAACUUUAC